rnacentral:rRNA from 1 species
GAUGAACGCUGGCGGCGUGCCUAAUACAUGCAAGUCGAGCGAACAGACGAGGAGCUUGCUCCUCUGACGUUAGCGGCGGACGGGUGAGUAACACGUGGAUAACCUACCUAUAAGACUGGGAUAACUUCGGGAAACCGGAGCUAAUACCGGAUAAUAUAUUGAACCGCAUGGUUCAAUAGUGAAAGACGGUUUUGCUGUCACUUAUAGAUGGAUCCGCGCCGCAUUAGCUAGUUGGUAAGGUAACGGCUUACCAAGGCAACGAUGCGUAGCCGACCUGAGAGGGGGAUGGGCCACACUGAGACUGAGCGGCGGUCCAGGCUCCUAGGGGAGGCACCGUUAGGGAACCUUCGGCAAUGGCGAAAGCCUGACGGAGCAACGCCGCGUGAGUGAUGAAGGUCUUCGGAUCGUAAAACUCUGUUAUUAGGGAAGAACAAAUGUGUAAGUAACUAUGCACGUCUUGACGGUACCUAAUCAGAAAGCCACGGCUAACUACGUG